UUUCACAUAGCUCAGUCGGUAGAGCAUCAGACUUUUAAUCUGAGGGUCCAGGGUUCAAGUCCCUGUUCGGGCGGGUAAA